UUUCUCUUUUUAAUUUUUAUUACGCGCCUUGUGUUUCCUUCGUCUUUCACGGACCCAUUCGUUACUCAGUUUGAUCCAAAUCAGAACUACUCAUUAAUUUAAUCGAUUGCAGCAAAAGAUUCACAGGUUUAGAAAUUGAGAAUUGUGAUAAAUUUUAGCUUUAGGUUGAAGCUUCCAGUUAUUGCCAGCUCAGGGCAUAAUGAAUGGAACUCAAUACUGGGGUGAAAGUUCCAGCUCGAAUUCCGUAAGCAGUCAGCAGGAUACCGAGGAUGACCAAAUGAUUGCUCUCGUGUUGUCGGAAGAGUAUGCCAAAUUGGAUGGUGCAGUUGGCAGACGACUUUCCAACUUGGCACCUGUUCCUCAUGUGCCCCGAAUAAACUCAUUCUUCCCCAACAUAAAUGAUGCUAGCAUGGAUCACCAGCGUCUUCUUCAGAGGUUACAAAUCUAUGGUCUCUGUGAAGUUAAAGUCUCUGGAGAUGGAAAUUGUCAGUUUCGUGCACUGUCAGAUCAGCUCUUUAGAUCACCUGAAUACCACAAGCAUGUUCGAAAAGAGAUUGUAAAACAGCUCAAAGAUCAUCAUUCCUCAUAUGAAUGUUAUGUACCAAUGAAGUAUAAACAAUAUUACAAGAGAAUGGCAAAAUCUGGAGAAUGGGGGGACCACGUUACCUUACAGGCAGCUGCUGAUAAGUUUUCUGCAAAGAUAUGCCUUUUGACAUCAUUCAGAGACACUUGUUUCAUUGAAAUUAUGCCACUGUAUCAAGCACCAAAGCGUGAGCUGUGGUUAAGCUUUUGGUCUGAGGUACAUUACAAUUCACUAUACGACAUUCAAGAAGCACCAAUCCCACGUAAACCGAAGAGGAAACACUGGCUGUUUUAGGAGAAGCCGAUUAUAAGCUUUAAGAUGCGGUACUGUUUAAUUAUUUUAAAGCUUCAACUUGGUUUUGAACUUCAUCGGGAAAUCAAGUCCUCUCAACUUUGUAAAAAAAUCGUCUUAAUAGCAGUAUCUUUUAUACCACCUCCACGCUUGAAGAUCUCAAUCACUCUUCCAUCCAUCAGCUCUUCUUAGAAGCCAAAAUAUUGGAAAAUAGACAUCCUUUAAGAAUAUAAAAUAGCUACUAUACAUGUUUCUCAAUUUAGGAAAGUAACUUGCCAAUUGAAAAAUGAAGGAUCUAUAUUUCGAAGUUUCAAAAAUGACAAGAGAGAGAACGAGGGAGGCAAAGCAUUGAAGCAAUAACUUCUCCCCCUUUUCAUUUAUAUUUUGUUGCCGGAUGUUUUUUUAAAAUCCUUUUUAGAUUUAUUAUUUCACUUAUUCCCUUUGGGUUUUAUGAUAAAGAGUGGCACAGUUGUAGUUUUCAUUGUAAAGUUACUGGCUACUUUUUUAAUUUUAGCAGAUUUAUCUACAUGUCUGACAUU